UUCAUUCUGGCUCAGAUGGUAAAGCGUCUGCCUGCAAUGCAGGAGACCCAUGCUCAAUUCCUGGGUUAGGAA
rnacentral:tRNA from 1 species